CAGUAGCCACGGGAAUACGUAGGUGGCAAGCGUUGUCCGGAAUUAUUGGGCGUAAAGGGCUCGCAGGCGGUUUCUUAAGUCUGAUGUGAAAGCCCCCGGCUCAACCGGGGAGGGUCAUUGGAAACUGGGAAACUUGAGUGCAGAAGAGGAGAGUGGAACUCCACGUGUAGCGGUGAAAUGCGUAGAGAUGUGGAGGAACACCAGUGGCGAAGGCGACUCUCUGGUCUGUAACUGACGCUGAGGAGCGAAAGCGUGGGGAGCGAACAGGAUUAGAUACCCCUGUAGUCCCUGUCUCUUAUAC
rnacentral:rRNA from 1 species